GAGGCCGGGCAGGCGGCUGAGCGGCGCGACUCUCAACCUGACGGGGAAGUGGUCCGGGCGGCCGCGGCUGACUACCCCAGGGCGAACGGACGGACGACGGAGGCGGGAGCCGGGAGCCGAGCCGGGCGACCUAGAGGGCGAGCGGGUCAGGCUCAGCGUCGGCCACUCUGUCGGUCCGCUGAAUGAAGUGCCCGCCCCUCUGAGCCCGGAGCCCGGCGCUUUCCCCGCAAGAUGGACGGUUUCGCCGGCAGUCUCGAUGAUAGUAUUUCUGCUGCAAGUACUUCUGAUGUUCAAGAUCGCCUGUCAGCUCUUGAGUCACGAGUUCAGCAACAAGAAGAUGAAAUCACUGUGCUAAAGGCAGCUUUGGCUGAUGUUUUGAGGCGUCUUGCAAUCUCUGAAGAUCAUGUGGCCUCAGUGAAAAAAUCAGUCUCAAGUAAAGGCCAACCAAGCCCUCGAGCAGCUAUUCCCAUGUCCUGUAUAACCAAUGGAAGUGGUGCAAACAGAAAACCAAGUCAUACCAGCGCUGUCUCAAUUGCAGGAAAAGAAACUCUUUCAUCUGCUGCUAAAAGUGGUACAGAAAAAAAGAAAGAAAAACCACAAGGACAGAGAGAAAAAAAAGAGGAAUCUCAUUCUAAUGAUCAAAGUCCACAAAUUCGAGCAUCACCUUCUCCCCAGCCCUCUUCACAACCUCUCCAAAUACACAGACAAACUCCAGAAAGCAAGAAUGCUACUCCCACCAAAAGGUUUUAACUGUCCCCAAGUACAGAGCUAGGGAAUGGUUGUAAUGAUACCUAAAUUCUGUGACUUGGGAAAAAGUUAGCUAUCCAAGGAUUCUGAGAGAAAAGGCUGGUGGCUUUAUUUUUCCCUUCUUCGUUGCUUAUAAUUUAUGCUUUAUAGCCCAUUGGGGAAUAAAGAAUUAAGGUCACAACUUCUCAGUUAAAACUGGAAAAAAAACAAA
rnacentral:sRNA from 1 species